AAGCUCGUAGUUGAAUUUCGGACCUGGCUGGACGGUCUACCUCACGGUUUGUACUGUCUGGCUGGGCCUUACCUCUUGGUGAGCCGGCGUGCCCUUUACUGGUGUGCGUCGGGGAACCAGGACUUUUACCUUGAGAAAAUUAGAGUGUUCAAAGCAGGCCUAUGCCCGAAUACAUUAGCAUGGAAUAAUAAAAUAGGACGUGCGGUUCUAUUUUGUUGGUUUCUAGAGUCGCCGUAAUGAUUAAUAGGGAUAGUUGGG
rnacentral:rRNA from 1 species